GCCCGCUUAGCUCAUCGGUAGAGCGUGUCACUUGUACCAAGAAUGGGCCAUGACAAGGUAGCUAGUUCGACCCUGGCAGUGGGCU